ensembl:lncRNA
UUAAAAGCCAAGGCUACAACCAAAUUUCUAUUAAUCACGAGCCUGUGACAGUGCAGCAGAUUGCUGCAUUCUGUAGCGGAUAGGAGGAUAUUGCUUCAUAAACCGUACCGAGCUGUUCACCACCGCCUGGAACAAAGCACUCUUUGUUGGUUAAUGGUGUCUAGAAAAUAAUGGUUAAAUUUAAAGCAUCUCAGAUUCCAAGGGGUGUGUUAAGGGGAAGAAAAAGAAAAAAAGAAAAAAAGUCAACUGCUAGGAAAGCUAGUUUUUUUUAAUGCUUUAUCUCUCCUCUCUUGGUAAAAGAAAGGGGGAUGUAUUCACAUAUAUUCAAAGGGUGGCUUGAAGAGACGGUGCUGCCCUACAGGUACAGCUGGCAUCGAGGGGUGCAUAACAAGGCAUAAUGGGGUGACUCCGGCAAUAAUGCUAACUGGAUAUGUAGCCUUUCAUCCUGUAAGCACUUUGCAGAUGUUCAAAAAUACCAUAGAGGUUGCACAGAUUUUGGCAGGAGGAUUCCUGCAAGUGAGCUCUGCCAAGUGGAGAGGUGAAGGGGCAGGGGGUGCUGAGCACCACCCAUGCUCAUGGGUGAAGCUGAGCUCAACAGGUACGGAAGAGUUAGUGCAAGGCUCCACCUCACAAUGGCACAAAAAGGGUAAGCCCAGCAGCAGGAUCUGGCCCACUUGUGUUGGCCCAAAGCCCAGUGGGCUCCAUGGGAGUCUUUCGCCGUGCUUCAAUGGGCAUCGGCUGCAGCCCCACACGGCAGGGACAUCAGGGAAGCCACCAGGCACCGAUGCUGGAAUGAACGACUUGCCCAUUUUGAGACCUGCUUCUAGAUGCCUUUCAGAUUGCUGUACCUCACCAGCUUGUUAUCAUGGACAUCUGGCUCAGAAGGAUGCUUUAAAAACUUCUUUAUUUCAGUGAGCACAAGUAAGCCGUUUCCAAGGAUAAAACAAGGAUAAAACUGGUCUUUCUCAUAUUGGACUCCCAUCACAUUUUCUCUGAAAAGAUCUGCUCAUUAAUUGAACCCUGCUUAUGCCAGGCUUUGGACGAGACAGUAGUUUUACAGAAGGGAGAAGGAGAAGAAAGUCAUCAUGUGUUUAAAGCCUAUGUAUGGCACAGAGGGACGCAAAUUAGAGUUCAGCAUCUAACAUUAAUUCUAGAGUUUUCUGACUGCUCAGUACUUGGCUUUGCAGCCAUGAGAUCUUCAGGUCUCUCGCCAGCUUCAUUAGAGAAGUACUCAGCCAUUCCCCUUAUGAGAUCUUAUGACUUCAGCUAGGCUGAAAUUUUCUGUUCUGCAUUUCUGCCCCAGGCUGAUACUUUCCGGAGUGCUUGGGAAUCAGUAUUUCAGGCUUUUCCAGAGUUAAGACUCAGAAAGAAUUUAUUCCUAAUGCUAAGAUACUACUCUAAAAAAAAAAAAAAAGUCUCUACCAUAACUAUAAUUAUAGAAGAAGUUGAAAUCUGCCCAGUAGGAUUGGUUUGGUGUGAAUGACACUCCUUUUCUUCUAAGCUCAUGAAAACUGAUCUGUGUUUCUUCCUGCCCCGUUGAGGCAUGUAAGAGUUUUGUAGCUGAUUGUGGGAUUUCUUCAGAACUGGGAAGGCUCCAUCUUCUCACAGCCCCUAUCUGCCAGCGAGGCUGUUCUGUGCGUGAGCCACCUCGCAGCACGAUAAUCAUUGUACGUUAGCUAAGGGCUGCUCAGACUUUCUAGCCACACUGCAGCUCUGUUGAAAGUAGUUGCCCACCAAGAAUACUGACAAGCCAAGACGUCUUUCAACAGACCAAACAAGCCACUUUUGGAGGACCUCUUGGUCUACAGUGAUUGUGCAUAUUCCAGUAGUUUGAGGAAGACUGUCUACAGUGAGCCUUCCUCUUGAAUGUAAUGGCUGCCUUUGAUUUUGUUUACCUGCUGCUCGGUCUCUGGCUAGUCACUCUCAGAAUACCCAAGCUGUGCCUGAAUGCCCAACCUUCCUCCUGCCAGAACAGCACAGUCCGUCUGGAGACAUGUCACAGGCCCUGUUGGCAUACUCUUGCCAUCACUUAAGGAGUAUUUGCUGAUGGCUAAACACCAUUACUUGAAUAUCAACCACAGAAAAGCAAGAGCACAUUUAAAUAUGGAAUUUGAGUGUUGUAAUAAACUGCACACAUUUGGAAGGAGGACA